AACCGCAAAGAUCUAUACAGAAUAAAUCUAAACG
rnacentral:misc_RNA from 1 species